GAGGCCGCAGGGAGCCAUCAGACGGCUCCGGGAUCUCAUAGAGUGCGGACGUCGGCGUGGGCUCCGCUCCUUCGUCAGGUUGCGGUGGGACGUUUCCCGGUGAAGAUGAGCCCGAUCCGGUGAGCAGUUCAGGCCGAGCAUCUCGUCAGCCCGAAGCGGCGAGCGUUCAGAAGCCGCUAGGGAGACGCGGCGGCACGGCUCGCACGACCGGACCGCCGUUGAGGACCGCCGUGUUCUUUUCCGGAACUCCUUGAGCUCUGCCUAAGGAUGAAGGAAGAAGUAGGGGAGCCCCGGGGCGCCUCACCCCAGUCGAGGCGCUGCCGGAGCUCGUAUUCCCGGUCUAGGAAGGGCUCGCGGGCGAUACGGUGAAGUUUGGGAUUAGACCGGGAAGACGCAAGGCACCUAAAGGUACCUCGUGGCAAGCGGAGGUCUUUUUCUGUCAUCUCGUCACCAGUGAGAAGAGACUAGUCAGUAGCCCUGCCCUCACGGCAAGGCGGGCGAGGACGGAAGGACAGAGCGAGUGAGAGCAGCCUUCAGGGAGGGCGAGAAGGACAGGCGGCGUGACAGCAGCCGGCUGAGCGCUGCAGCGGAGCAUUUGGCAGCGAGGACGAGCGAGCCCCGCGGCCCGGCUGUGGCAGCAUCCCCUCAGCAGCAGUUUGAGGAGCAGAGUCGGCACGGUCUGGAUGCGUCUGCGUGGAGUCAGGAAUGAGCUGGAGAGAGGAGAAGCUGGGUUCUGUAUCCUGCUGAAGAAGAUGACUUUAUUACAAGCAUCAGGAUUAUUGGCUCCUGAAGGCUCUUUGGUGGGAUUAUUUCUGAUGUGAGCGCUACUGUUCUGCGUUGCCUGUGGGAUCUGAGAUGCCUGAGACUAUCUGCCCUGUAGGGGAAGGGCUGGGCUUAGCUCACUUGAGGGUUUGUGGUGGAGUGGAUACCUGUCUGUCUCUAACUUAAAACAGUAAUUCCUUACAUACCUCACAAAGAUGUGGGUGUGCGGUCUCUUUCUGUGCGUUGGCCUCGCUUGUUUGCUGCUGAAGGUUUUCAUCUUGGGAAAUGUGAAGAGGAAGAGGGAUGAUCCCUGAAGUGAUUGGCUCUUUGGCAUUCCAUGCUCUGUAAAAGACAAAAAAGCCAACCUGGUUGGAAUGGACAUGCGACUCCUACUUCUAUGUGAGAUUGCCCUGACUUCAACUGUUCAAGAUGAGAGCUGCAUCCAAGCGCUUUGUGAAGUGGGUCAGCCCUGGGCUGUGACUGCUGCCUCGAGGAAGCCUGUUCUGAUAUCUCAGCCUUCCUUAGAGUGAGCUUUUUCUUCAUUUCCAACCUGUACCUCCUUUGACCUAACAAACAGAAAAGCUGCCUGGGAAAAGAAGCUGACCCCACCUUGCAAAUGCUCCCUUUCAGCUAAGUUGAAUGGAAGGAGUUUGAGCCCUUCUUUGGAUGCUGCCUGAGAGCAUUAUUGUUGUCUUUUAAUUAUGUUCUGUUAAUAUAACAGCCAUUUAUUGACUUAAUGUAUUAGACAGCUGAAGUUAAUGGAUGUAUUGUUCUAAUAGUGGAGUGGAAUAAAACCUGUUGA